rnacentral:rRNA from 1 species
CCUACGGGCGGCUGCAGUGAGGAAUAUUGGUCAAUGGACGAGAGUCUGAACCAGCCAAGUAGCGUGAAGGAUGACUGCCCUAUGGGUUGUAAACUUCUUUUAUAAAGGAAUAAAACGAGGCACGUGUGCCUUUUUGCAUGUACUUUAUGAAUAAGGAUCGGCUAACUCCGUGCCAGCAGCCGCGGUAAUACGGAGGAUCCGAGCGUUAUCCGGAUUUAUUGGGUUUAAAGGGAGCGUAGAUGGGUUGUUAAGUCAGUUGUGAAAGUUUGCGGCUCAACCGUAAAAUUGCAAUUGAUACUGGCAGUCGUGAGUACAGUUGAGGUAGGCGGAAUUCGUGGUGUAGCGGUGAAAUGCUUAGAGAUCACGAAGAACCCCGAUUGCGAAGGCAGCUUACUAAACUGUGACUGACAUUGAUGCUCGAAAGUGUGGGUAUCAAACAGGAUUAGAUACCCGAGUAGUC